CACGUAGGGUGCGAGCGUUGUCCGGAAUUAUUGGGCGUAAAGAGCUCGUAGGCGGUGUGUCGCGUCGGCCGUGAAAACCUGCAGCUUAACUGUGGGCUUGCGGUCGAUACGGGCAUCACUGGAGUUCGGUAGGGGAGACUGGAAUUCCUGGUGUAGCGGUGAAAUGCGCAGAUAUCAGGAGGAACACCGAUGGCGAAGGCAGGUCUCUGGGCCGAUACUGACGCUGAGGAGCGAAAGCGUGGGGAGCGAACAGG
rnacentral:rRNA from 1 species